UACGUAGGGUGCAAGCGUUGUCCGGAAUUAUUGGGCGUAAAGAGCUCGUAGGCGGCCAGGUAGGUCUGCUGUGAAAACUCGAGGCUCAACCUCGAGAUGUCGGCGGAAACCAUCUGGCUAGAGUCCGGAAGAGGAAAGUGGAAUUCCUGGUGUAGCGGUGAAAUGCGCAGAUAUCAGGAAGAACACCCGUGGCGAAGGCGGCUUCAUGGGAC
rnacentral:rRNA from 1 species